rfam:Schistosoma haematobium scaffold15_41, whole genome shotgun sequence.
AUCCAGCUGACGAGUCCCAGAUAGAACGAAACCCGUGUCAAACUGGAU